AUUGGUGUUUCAGAAUUUUUAAGGUAUAAUCCUAUCACUGUUGGAAUCACUGAGUCAAAAGGCAGUUCCAUUUUUAAUUUUUUUGAGGAAAUUCCAUGUGUUUUCCAUAGUAUCAUCUUUAAUUCAUAGUCCUUUAAGAGACUGCUUUUAAAAGGUGGUAAGGGCACUUAUAAAUAGCUUUUUUUAAUUUGAAAGAAAUGAAGGACAUGCUCCUUAAGAAUAAAUGCAUAGGUAAAAUGAACCCAAACAUAAUAGUGCAUAAAAGAACAAGGUCUAAAAAAGGUAAUAUUAAUUGAUAAUUUAAAAACAAGUUUACUGGAGGCAAUUACAGUCAAUUUAUAUCAAGGUUAUUAUAAAAUUAGAUAAUCAGGAGAAAUGUCAUUUUAUAUAAUAAGACAAGUGGAAUAUAAUUUCAGUUGGGCAAGGCUAAUAGCAUGUGUUCCUUCAAAUAUUUUUUAAAAGUUCAUUCAUCAACUGACCAUUUACUAAAUGUGAUGGUAAGUGCCAGGCACUGUUCUGGGAGCAGAGACGAUACCAAGAAACAAAGCCAGAAAAAGCCCUGCUUGCACAGAACUUACAUUCCAGUAUCGUGGAGAGAGACAACAAAACAGAUAAAUACGAUACAUGGUAUGUUAGAU